GGGAAAAUAAAGGAAGAGUGCAGUAGGGAACUACAGAUGGAAGGGGGACUAAAGGAGGACAAAGCCAAUCCUGCUGGGACUCCAUCCAGAUGCAUGGGUCAGAAUAAAGGGAAUUUUUUUCCACCAUUGCUUUUGCAAAAUGGCACUUCAGCCUAGAAGGUCCAAAGGGACCCUCCUUCCAUCCUUGUUCAGCCCCACUGUGUUUGGAGAGAGAUAAGUGCGGUGUUACCCCUAUGGAAAAUUGUUCUCUGCAAAUUAGGAUAACUUCCAAAGAGUAAUGCUCAUAUAAAUUCCAUCAAGGGACCCUGGGCAACCCCAGCCUUGCACCCAGCAGCACCUCCAGGAGCUGAGCAGGUUGAUGGGGAAUCAUGGAAUGGCCUGGGUUGCAAAGAAGCACAAUGCUCAUCCAGUUCCAACCCCCUGCUAUGUGCAGGGUCACCAACCAGCAGCCCAGGCUGCCCAGAGCCACAUCCAGCCUGGCCUUGAAUGCCUGCAGGGAUGGGGCAUCCACAGCCUCCUUGGGCAACCUGUUCAGUGCGUCACCACCCUCUGGGGGAAAAACUUCCUCCUCAUCUCCAACCUAAACCUCCCCUGUCUCAGUUUAAAACCAUUCCCCCUUGUCCUAUCACUGUCCACCCUCACAAACAGCCGUCCCCCCCUCCUGUUUAUACGCUCCCUUCAAGUACUGGAAGGCCACAAUGAGGUCUCCCCGCAGCCUUCUCUUCUCCAAGCUAAACCAGCCCAGUUCCCUCAACCUUUCCUCAUAGGAGAGGUGCUGCAGCCCUUUGAUCAUCUUCGUGGCCCACAUGAUUCCUUUGGGGUUUGUGCACUGCUCAACGAUUUCCCAAGGGCUACCAGGGAGACAUUACUGAUAGAUAAGGGUGUGAAAUUGCUGUCUGCAAAUGCAAGCUGAGCAUUUUGCCUUUCUCUGCCCACCCAGCCCCAUGGGUUUCAUCCUGCUCCAUGAAGCCAGGUCUCGAGCCACAUCCAUGCUUGGGGAUGUUGGGUACACACUGACAAAGAUCAGGCAUACUUUAGAGCUGUUCAAGUUCAUGUUCUCUAAGCAGAGGGCUAUUUUUUAAAUUCAAUUACUCCUUAGCCUUCGUUUUCCAGCUCUAAUUAACAUAACUAGGCUUUCUUCCCACUUAAUCUCAUUUCUAAAAAGACCGGUUAUCUCUGAAAGGUGCCAUUGGCUAUGGGAUUCACCCAAAUCCCCAAUUAUAUUACCCUACACCUAGGUAAAUUUGAACUUGAUUAUAUUAUAUAAAAGCAGGAUAAUCCUUAUUUUCCUUCUAUGUUUACUUUGGGCUCCACCAUAUUGAUGGCAUUUCCUCCUCCCGAAUUCAUUCUGAAUUAAGCCAGCAGAUUCCUGUGACUGAAGGGAGUCAAUGAAUUUAAAUCUGGGGUUUCUCUUCUGUGAAUAGUAAAUUGACUGUGGAGUCGAGUUUUGAUGAAACUGAAGCUAUUCUGAACUCGGGUCAAAUUCAUCAGAGAGCACUGACUGCAAAUUAGCCAAGGAAACAUUUUUCACGUUGAAGCGUUUUAUUUAAAUAUUCUUUUUUUUUAAGUGAAAUGUAUUUCAGCUGAGAUUCGUUAAGUGAAUGAGCUUUAAGUGAGGGAUGGGAAGGGAAAUUAAGAUUAUACAUUAGUAAGAAUACUUUUAAAUGGCAGUCCUAACAGAACAGUAAAACAGCCUGCCAAGAAGGACUAUGGAGUGUGCAUUGCUGGAGAUGUGUUAGAUGCAUGGGGCAGGACAGGCAGCCUGAAGUCUCUUCCUGCCCCUUUCCAUCACCAUACCCAUUUCUAGCAGUGAGAUAUUGUUCACCCCACAUCCCAAUGCUCAGUUCUCCUUCUGACAGGCUCCACAGUGUAAAACAUCCUGGUCCCCAUAGGAGCUCUUAAAAUAAAUCAUAGAAUGACUUAGGUUGGAAGGGAUCCCAAUGCUCCCCCACCCUCACCCCUGCCAUGGUCUGGAUGCCCUCCAGCUCAGGCUGUCCAGGGCCCAUCUGUAGCCUCGGGCACCUCCAGGGAUGGGGCACCCAUGGGGACCUCCCUCUGCAUGAGGAAUUUGCUCCUCACAUCUGCCCUGAGUCUCCCUCUCCCAGUGAUCUGUUUCCAGGAUGCCAGCCCCAUCGUGGCACCAUCAACCCCGGUCAGCUCACCAACCAGUGCAUGCCACCAACAGGAGAUGGACGCAGGGAUGGGUGCUUCUUUGCGAGCAUUUGCAAUAGCCCAGAUGUGAUCUGUUAAGGCAGCAGCACUGUCCCUUAGGGCCGUACCACCACAAGGGACAAGGACAUAGAGCCCAGGGAUGGAGCUGGAGCUGCCCUGCGGGAGAAAGAUGUGGUGCAGAGCAAACACAGCAAGAAUUCUUUCAGCCAUCACUUUCUUCAGAUUAAAACUGCAGGUUCAGAUGCAUCCAAAUGCUUUGAAAACACAAUGCUAUCUUCUCUGAAACUUCUGCCUGGGAGGGAAGGGCAAAAGAAAAAACAGCAAUCAUCUGGGGAAAAGGAAAAUGAUUUGGUUUCCCAUUUAUUGAAUGAAAUAACUUCGGGGUAUUUGUUUUUGGUUGUUGGUUUUUUUUUUUUUUCAUUUCAAACAAAUGUGAGCUUUGGUAUUCUUCAGAUUUAUUUUAAACAAAUUGCCCUUGAUUGCUGCUUGUUGUUUUAGCUCCUUAGGAAAAUACCAAACAUAAGAAGCACAUUGCUCAGUCCCAGCUAAAUUAGGUGUUCCAUUUAACCCAGCCGGGGGGGAGCCCACAGGCUUUUGAAAAGCAGCUCUGUUUAGGCAUACAGCCCACACAGCUCUGGGGAAACACGGCUCAAGUUUGCUGGGGAUGUGCAUGGUCCCAGUUCAUAACAGCGCAUUAUCCUCCUUCCAGUUCGUUAUGCUCCUUCAGAUCCUUAAUUAAAGUCAACCUUUGCCUUGACACCAGGCAGCAGCUUGCUGUUGGUAGACGGAAACCUCUCAGCG
ensembl:lncRNA